rnacentral:rRNA from 1 species
GAGUUUGAUUCUGGCUCAGAUUGAACGCUGGCGGCAUGCUUUACACAUGCAAGUCGAACGGCAGCGCGGGCUUCGGCCUGGCGGCGAGUGGCGAACGGGUGAGUAAUACAUCGGAACGUACCUGGUAGUGGGGGAUAGCUCGGCGAAAGCCGGAUUAAUACCGCAUACGACCUCAGGGUGAAAGCGGGGGACCUUCGGGCCUCGCGCUAUCAGAGCGGCCGAUGGCAGAUUAGCUAGUUGGCGAGGUAAAGGCUUACCAAGGCGACGAUCUGUAGCUGGUCUGAGAGGACGACCAGCCACACUGGGACUGAGACACGGCCCAGACUCCUACGGGAGGCAGCAGUGGGGAAUUUUGGACAAUGGGCGCAAGCCUGAUCCAGCAAUGCCGCGUGUGUGAUGAAGGCCUUCGGGUUGUAAAGCACUUUUGUCAGGAACGAAAAGGUCCGUGCUAAUACCA